UAGACAUAAAGGUAGACACAAAGGUGGACAUAAAGGUAGACAUAAAGAUAGACAUAAAGGUAGACAUAAAGGUAGACAUAAAGGUAGACAUAAAGGUAGACA